ACGACUCUCGGCAACGGAUAUCUCGGCUCACGCAUCGAUGAAGAACGUAGCAAAAUGCGAUACUCGGUGUGAAUUGCAGAAUCCCGUGAACCAUCGAGUUUUUGAACGCAAGUUGCGCCCGAAGCCAUCCGGUUGAGGGCACGCCUGCCUGGGCGUCUCGCAU
rnacentral:rRNA from 1 species